AGCUGGUCUCUUUUCAUGUUGUGCCCAGUGACAGGACGAGAGGCAACAGGCACAAACUGAAGCACAGGAGGUUCCGGCUGAAUACGAGGGGGCACUUCGUUACUGUGAGGUGACAGAGCACUGGGACAGGCUGCCCAGAGAGGUUGUGGGGUCUCCUUCUCUGGAGAUAUUCACCCGCCUGGAUGCCCUCCUGCGCAAUGUGCUCUAGGUGAUCCUGCUUGGCAGGGGUUGGAACAGAUGAUCUUCAGAGGUCCUGUCCCACCUCGGCCAUUCUGUGAUUCUGAGACUGCAGAUCCAGAGGCAACAGGUUUGCGAAGAUCAAAUCUCACGGUCUUUCCCCAAAGUGUGAAAAUCUCUAGUUUUUAAACACUUAAUAUUUGGUGACUUCUGUAGGAUAGUCUCCUAGGGAAAAAUGCUCAGUGAAAAGUAUCGUCUGGGCAGCAAAUGCUGAUCAAGAUACAGCUAGCUUCAUGGAGCUGCUCACUAAGUAGGAGGCAGUCUCCAUGCCACAGACUGGAAGCAAUCAUUUGCAAGAACAGGAGUUUUUCAUUCCUGACAUGCAGUUUUGUUUUUCAGAAAGUCUGUGGUUUGGUAUACUGGCCUUGUAAAAGCCAAAAGGAAACGGAAAGGUCGUGGCCAUCAGGGCAUGUCUCUGUCAGUUCCCUUCUCUCCAGGUUUGGGGGGCAGCAGGAGGGAGCACAGCACACAGAUUUCCAGCUGACCAGAGCAGGGUAUGGCAGCAGCUGCAAACACUUCUCUUUCAGGCGGAGAGGUAAUUUCAGCACUUCUGGAGGCUGAUGUUGUACGAACUGCAGUUACUUCAGAGGCCCUUUUUUUUUUCCACAUGUGAAUACUUGGACAAAGCAAAAUAUUUUUGCUUGGGAUUCUUGGACUCCCCUCGUGAUGCUGUUGUUGUACAGAGAUUCUCUGAGUUCUUCAGGCUUUUUGUGGGGUUCCUUUGCGCUGACUCAGAGAAGGAUUUCACAUAUAAGGUGGCAUAUUCUAGUCUGACAGGCUGGUGUAAACCUGGAGUCAUUCCAGGGCAGUAACUGAAUCAAACUCUGGCAGAGAAUUGCGCUGCUAUUUCUAGAUACUAACUUUCCAUGAUUUCUUUCUAACUUGCUUUAUCUGUUUUCUAUUGUUUUUAACAGUGCUAAGAAUAGAACAGAUUGUUGUUACAGUGAGUCUGUUUUUAGAAAAAUUAUAACUAACUAUUUUUACAUCUGGCUCUGUGUUGCAUGUGUGCUUGCUCUCUCCACACUAUUCCCGUGUAUGUCCAAGGCCAGGCGCAUGUCCACAGCGCUGUGGGCAUGGGGAGAGCUGGUGGCAGAAGUGGCUGUCCUUUGUGACAGUACAUCCAUGCCCAUCCUUGUGCUUGUCUUCCAGCUUUGCUUGCUGAGGAUUUUUGCUUCGCAGGAGAAAUGGCCAUCACAUACCAAGAAGGAGCUGUAUUUGUGGGCUGCAUGAACGUACAGUGCUACAAACCUGCAGAAUAUCUUCUUUUUAGGAUAUUGUAUUUGCUGGAUUUUUCUAUUUUCCCCUGCCAUGUUCUGGCUGCUGGGCAAUGCAAGUUGCAAACAGGAGCUGUGAGCUCUUUGUGUUCUUUAACAUGAAGUUUGGGUCAUGGUAGCUACCUGAUUGCAACCACAUUGAGAAGCCUCUGUUUUCUUUCCAUUUCUUUUUAUUUUUUUGAAGAUGUGGCUUAAGUGUGGCUGUGGAUGAAAUGGUAGUCUUGCUUCAUCCCAAGGCACUGGGAUGAUGUUACUGGGCUAUCCAAAGGAAUAAACCCUGGUUGGUUUGAUUGUAACUUUGCCUUAUUUAAGGAGCAGUUCCUAUCAAAAUACUGGACUGAUGGUUAUCAAAUGGGCAUCUGUGAUGAAAGACCUGUGCUUCGAGGAGCUCUUCCCCAGCAGCUUAGCAGCAAAGCACUGAUGGUUUUGCCCCCGGAGCCAGAGAGGACAGGGGGUGUUCCUGAGGGCACCCCAUCUCUGCCGUGUUAACUGCAGUCUAACACAUCCCUGGAUUUUCUGCGUUUGCCGGAGUGAAAUCAAUUACUCUUUCCAUCAGUGCAAAUCCAGUGCCAUUUGAAGGGCGUUUGGAAGAUUUGUGAGGCCUUCUGAUAAUUGCAAGAGUAAAUUAUUUUCUUGCUUAGCUGGGGAGUCCUUUUAUAAUCUUGGAGGCUUUGUGUGGGCAGAGCUUUGUCUGGCUGCUUGGGCUGGGCAGCAUGGGAGGAGGCAGUGCUGUGCCUUCUCUGUCCCUAUCUGCCUCCGUGCCCCAGGCUGGGAGUCACGCCGAUGGUGGGAAGCAGGUCACUGCCGUCCAACCGAGCCAGACUUGAAAGUGGUGGGUAGUAAAGGAAAAUUCUUAAUCUCAAAACAUUUCUAUGUCAAACCUGCCUUCAGCAGUGCAUAGGGAGUGGAUGUGAAGGGACCGUCAGGACUGCAGCACCCGUGGUCCCUGGCUGCCCACUCAUCCCCAGCUCUUCCCUGCCCCGGAGGAGAGGGGGGAGCCUGGGGCUUCGCUCUGUGCUGCGUUUUCUCCAGCAGCUCAUCAGGCCUGCAAACGGACAGGCUGGCAGGCCACUGGUUAAGCCAGAGCCCAUGGCAGUGCAAAUUUCCAUGCCUGUGCAAGGCCUUGCAAAGGCAUUAUCUACGGGCCGCAGAUAGUUGCUGUCACUGGGAACCAAAGGCUUUUGGUGCAACUUCUGCCCUCUCGCAAGGUGGAGUAUUUUCCAGCACUUUCUGCAGAACUUCUUUACGCAUGCAAAUGCUGGCGUGCAGCUCUCCUUCCAGUUUUACUGCUGUUUGCCUCCUGCGAAAUUCCCCCCUGCCCCACUGCACAUAGCAGGGGCAGCGCGGGGAUGUGAUCCUUUGUGGGGUGCCCUGUCCUUACCUUGCUGGGGGUUUUUUGGACACCCGGGCAGUGCAGGGACGCCGUGCUGCAGGGCAUGCAUUGCAGGGCACCCAGCACAGGACAGGAGGAUGCAAUGUGCUUGUGGCAGCUUUCUUGGCCGGGUGUCAAAAGCUGAGCAGAUUUGGUCAAAGAGGGUGAGCCAGGCUUAUUUCAAGAAGAGUUUCCACUGUUACUUGGCUAUAACAUAUGUUUUAUUGAGACAUAGCAAAGUUACAGUCUAAAUUCAGUCAUCUGCCCACUUGGAAAAUGCCCUAGUGUUGGUUUUACAAUUAUCUUUGGUUUUUAAAUUCUCAGCCAUAACUUUCCAGGAAAAUCCCUGAGGAGUCUCUGCAAGCCUAGCUGUGAAAUUAUGUGGGUUUUAUUGAUUUCCGCAGGAUAGAUCUCUGAUCUCCCAUUUUAUGUACUGUAUAAAACAUCUUCACUUACCUGUGCUGUCAGGGAUGCUGGCCAACAGUGAGAUAAUACAUUUGUGGAAACAGAUUUAUUGCUUCGAGCUGAAGAGUAGGAGACAACUGUACUAAUUGCUACGAUAUAAACCAGUCCAUACCAAAUUUUUUUAGGACUGCUGUGUGUUCCUUAGAGAAUGUAUGGAAGUAAAGAGCUGCACUUCAUAGAAACUUUGUACAAUAAUUAGUUUGGCUCGUAUUAAGCCAUUGUGAAUCAACUAACCUGUAAUGAUGAAAUAGGGGUAGGACUAACUUGUGACAGUUACAGAUGUAGUUUAACAGCUUAUCACAUGUGAAAUCGGUUAAUAAGCAAUAGGGCUUAAUGCUGUGAUAGCAUCUGGUUUUGUUUUUUCUACCUCCAGCUCUUGGCUUUAUCCCACGGGAAGAUGCGCCUUCUCUUUGACAGUCGGCUGGAUUUUCCAGCUGCCAAGUCACAGAGUAAGCUUAUUUCAGACCUUGGAUUUCUGGCUGUGAAUCCAAAGUAAUUCAGCCAAUUUCAAAGAAGCUAUUUCAUAUAUGUCUGCAUAUAUAUCUGAUGGAAAGAUUCAGCCUAUCAUCCCAUGUAAAGAGAUCUGUCCAUCUCCUCAUAUAUUGUACUGUGUGAGCUAAUCUUGGCAAUGGAAGUUUUAUCUCUUUCUGUGCAGCCUUAGAAAAUGAUGACUCCUGUGCCUUUUUAUUUCAUUUUUAUUUUUCAAGUUAUCUUUCUCUCUGACUUUCCCUGAGGCUGAGGCAUCCAAGUACUAUCUCUCUAGAGGAGAUUUCAGCAGCAGACAUUAGGAAUGGGGAAAGAGUAGCGUGAUAUGAGUCAUUAAAUAGCAAUAAAGAAAGCAGAUUAUAAACUGGAGCUGUCUCAGAACAGGAACCACCUAUUGUGAAUUUUCAGGAGUUUUGUUUGCUUUUGGUAAAUGCCUGCUUCUCUCUAAAUUGCAAACUGAAAGAUGAAUGGGUGAAUGUGCUUUUUGCAGUUUCACAAUUAGUAGAAGCUUCAGUCAUGGCACAGAAGUGAGUCAAAAGUCCCUAUUUCAUUCCUUCCCCAUUUUUCACUCAUCUUUGGUUUCUCACUUACCAAGGUAUUAAUCAUGUUUUCGAGGGGAGUUUGGGCUGUAAUAGCACCUUUUCUUGACAGCCAGCUUCAGUUCCAAGAGGGAAAAUCCAAAACCAGCCAACAAACUGAAAAAAAAACACCAUAAGACACCAAAACCAAGAAAAA